GGGCUUCUACCCCCCUACAGGGUGCAUCCUCAUUGGAGCAGAGUUAGGGGAUGAGAAAGAUGAGGGAAGAUGAAGAAGAGAAGAGAGAAGGGGUGGGGGAAAAGGAGGAAGAAGAGUUCAUCCUCGUUGAGCUGUGUCCUAGGUUCGUCCCAUAAGAAAAUUGUAUAAUGUUGAAGGAUGGAGAUAAACUUUAUACUCGAAUAUAGUUCUUAAUAAGAUUUAGGCCCUGUUUGUUUGAUUUACUAGGAGCUUUUCAACUGCUAACUUUUGGGAUGUCCAAAACCAAACACCUCUAAAAGCUGGAAGCUGAAAAGCUCAUGACAGGAAGAUUUUGGCUUAUAGGUUUUGGAGCCACUGGGCUUUUAGAGGUCCCAAUAGCCAAAGGACCAAAAGCGCCGAGAGGCUCAAACAAACAAACAAUCCCUUAUAAUAAAAAAACUAUCACCGCACAGCACACACAUUACAUGGACAAAUGCCGGGACACACUUUUACCUCUAUAAGCACUAUACCUUCUAUA
rnacentral:lncRNA from 1 species